CCUACGGGGGGCUGCAGUGGGGAAUAUUGGACAAUGGGGGGAACCCUGAUCCAGCCAUGCCGCGUGUGUGAAGAAGGCCCUCGGGUUGUAAAGCACUUUCAGUGAGGAAGAACGCCUGGUGGUUAAUACCCAUCAGGAAAGACAUCACUCACAGAAGAAGCACCGGCUAACUCCGUGCCAGCAGCCGCGGUAAUACGGAGGGUGCGAGCGUUAAUCGGAAUUACUGGGCGUAAAGCGCGCGUAGGUGGCUUGAUAAGCCGGUUGUGAAAGCCCCGGGCUCAACCUGGGAACGGCAUCCGGAACUGUCAAGCUAGAGUACAGGAGAGGAAGGUAGAAUUCCCGGUGUAGCGGUGAAAUGCGUAGAGAUCGGGAGGAAUACCAGUGGCGAAGGCGGCCUUCUGGACUGACACUGACACUGAGGUGCGAAAGCGUGGGUAGCAAACAGGAUUAGAUACCCGGGUAGUC
rnacentral:rRNA from 1 species